rnacentral:rRNA from 1 species
AUACGGAGGGUGCGAGCGUUAAUCGGAAUUACUGGGCGUAAAGCGCGCGUAGGCGGUCUGGUCAGUCGGAUGUGAAAGCCCCGGGCUCAACCUGGGAAUUGCAUUCGAUACUGCCAGACUGGAGUGUGGUAGAGGGUAGCGGAAUUCCCGGUGUAGCGGUGAAAUGCGGAGAUAUCGGGAGGAACACCAGUGGCGAAGGCGGCUACCUGGACCAACACUGACGCUGAGGUGCGAAAGCGUGGGGAGCAAACAGGAUUAGAAGCCCUAGUAGUCC